rnacentral:rRNA from 1 species
CAUUAAGGUGAAACCGCGAAUGGCUCAUUACAUCAGUUAUGGUUCCUUAGAUCGUACCCACAUUACUUGGAUAACUGUGGUAAUUCUAGAGCUAAUACAUGCAAAUAGAGUUCCGACCAGAGAUGGAAGGAAUGCUUUUAUUAGAUCAAAACCAAUCGGUGGCGGGCUUGCCUUGCUCACCGUUUGACUUGGUGACUCUGAAUAACUUUGUGCUGAUCGCACGGUCUCGUACCGGCGACGCAUCUUUCAAAUGUCUGCCUUAUCAACUGUCGAUGGUAGUUUCUGCGACUACCAUGGUUGUUACGGGUAACGGGGAAUCAGGGUUCGAUUCCGGAGAGGGAGCCUGAGAAACGGCUACCACAUCCAAGGAAGGCAGCAGGCGCGCAAAUUACCCACUCCCGGCACGGGGAGGUAGUGACGAAAAAUAACGAUACGGGACUCAUCCGAGGCCCCGUAAUCGGAAUGAGUACACUUUAAAUCCUUUAGCGAUUAACAAUUGGAGGGAAAGCCUGGUGCCAGCAGCCGCGGUAAUUCCAGCUCCAAUAGCGUAUAUUAAAGUUGUUGCGGUUAAAAAGCUCGUAGUUGAAUCUGUGUCCCACACUGUCGGUUCACCGCUCGCGGUGUUCAACUGGCAUGUCUGUGGGACGUCCUACCGGUGGGCGCAGCCCCUCAAAAGGCGGCCCAACUCAAAUCCUACCACGGUGCUCUUCACCGAGUGUCGAGG